UACCGAGGGGGCAAGCGUUGUUCGGAAUUACUGGGCGUAAAGGGCGCGUAGGCGGCCCGCUAAGUCGAACGUGAAAUCCCCGGGCUUAACCCGGGAACUGCGUCCGAUACUGGCAGGCUUGAAUUCGGGAGAGGGAUGUGGAAUUCCAGGUGUAGCGGUGAAAUGCGUAGAUAUCUGGAGGAACACCGGUGGCGAAGGCGGCAUCCUGGACCGGCAUUGACGCUGAGGCGCGAAAGCCAGGGGAGCAAACGGG
rnacentral:rRNA from 1 species